rnacentral:tRNA from 1 species
ACCUGGCUGGCUCAGUCGGUGGAGUGUAUGACUUUUUAUCUUGAAGUCAUGAGUUUGAGUCCCACGUUGGGUG